GACGUGCGUGUUUAGGUAGAGCUACUGAGCUAGCUGAGCUUGAGACCGGGGAGCAGAGUGCCGUGUUCAGUUACAUUGCAGAAGGCGGGUAUUAUGCAGUGACGAUGGAGAAGACGACGGAGAAGCACACCAUUCGUUUCAUAGAGCAGAAUAUGAAUAUAGUAGUAGCAGCAGCAACAGUAAUUAAGAGCAGUAGCACAAACAAAAAAAAUCAAAAAGACAGACAGGUGAUGAUUACUAACCAGGACGUAGAGGGUGCAGGCGAUGAUGACGGAUCGGUAGCGGCCCAGGUAGGCGUCGGCGAGGAAGGCGCCGAGCAGGGGCAUGAUGCAGGCCGUGCCGGACCAGGCGUUGACGGAGGCGGCGGCGGAGGCGUUGGACUGUCGUAGCGGACCAGUCAGGUACGUGAUUAGGUUGGCAGAGAUGCCGAAGUAGGCGAAGCUACCGGCGAUCUCGACGCCUGAUUAAUUUGGAGGCGGGGCGGGGGAUUAUUAUGGCCGAUUGGAUAUCCAGUUUCAAACAAACAAGAGCAAGCAAAUACUGUACCCACGACGAAGAGCGCGGAUCUCCAUCCCCCGGAGCUUCCGCGGUGCACGGACCGCCCAAGGUAGUCGGAGACGCCGGCGAGAGGAUCCUGCUGCUGCUUGCUGGACUGCGAGAGGGGAAGGAGGGGAUCGCCGAGGAUGGUGUCGCCGCCGCCGUUGGGGUCCAUAGCCACGGCCUCGGCGCGCCGCCUAAACGACCUUCCCUUCCCUUUCGUUCGUGGAUGGUAUUUGGGAGGUUUGGUUGUUAUCCCCGUGGUGGUCGUCGUCUACCUCCGAUUCCUGCUUUGCUUGCUGUGUUUGCCUUUGUCCGUUUCAGUCUUAUUUCAAUUUGAGUGACUUGUAGCCAGCCAAGCCAAGCCACCCCCAUUCGGAACUUGGC
rnacentral:misc_RNA from 1 species